rnacentral:lncRNA from 1 species
GCUUUGACAACAGCACUCAUACUGUUACAAAAAGCUCCAUCAUCAGCUGCAUUUGUGACACCACAAACACCACCAACAUUUCAUUACAUGCAAUCACCUAUAUCAACAACUCAAAAUUAUGAUUCGUUAUUAUCACCACAGUUAAAUCAGUGGCCAUCAAUUGUGUUGGCAGCAAUCACAAUUAUUUCAUUUGUUGGAGUAUUGCAUUAUCUAUAUAAACAAGUAUGCACGAAACAUCACACUAAACUUAUACUUGAAAUCAGCAAUGGUUUAACAUGCUUGACAAUACCAGUUGUUAAUUUACCUUUAUGUCCAUCAGAUUGGGAUAUUGCUACACCAAAUAACAUAACAAACAUGAGAAUAUCUGGUACUUUUUAUACAAAACUUAAUGUUGAAAUGUCAGGCUUAAGCAUUGUUAAUGUACACACAAAACAACAAAUCAAGGUACCUGACACUUUUACAGUCAAUCCAAUUAAAGGCAAAAUGUUGAAAAACAUUUUUAAAUCACCAUUCACAUCAUACAUCUUAGUUGUACACAACAAUUUUUUCAAGGUUGUUUAUUGAUUGCCAUAGUUGCGUGUAUUGCCUCAAUAUGAACACUGGUACGAUGCAAUUCUUUCAAAGAUAUACCUCUUUACUCAAAUUUUACAUUGUGUGACAUAUAACAUUAAUAUUUGACUUGUAUGCUUGUAUGCUGAAAAAGGGCACAAUAUCCUAUUAUUUCAUGUGACUUGUUGCAAAUAUGUAUUUCAGAAGUGAAUGUUGACUUGAUCCCAGAGGGAAAUUUUUAGAAUUUUGAUACUUUUUACUUUAUUUCUCAUGUUCUUUGAGGACAAAGAAUCUCUAAUGACGGGGAUAUUUGUGAUAGGGGAAAAUGCACCAUCACUUUUCUUAUAGAUCUUUUACAUAUUUUUACUAUAGUUUUAAUAGAAAUGAGUUUUGAUUUAUUUUAUAAAUAAAAGAAUUUCACUGUCGUCAUGUCACCCAACUUUUAUAAGUUAAUUUUAAAAGAGAUUAUCUAAAAUACCAGAAUUUGACAAAGAAUUAAAAUAGCUAUUAUUUGACAUUUUUCUACAAAAGAUUUACAAAAGCUAUAAAUUAGAGUCUAAUAUAUUAUCUAU